UACGUAGGGAGCAAGCGUUAUCCGGAUUUACUGGGUGUAAAGGGCGUGUAGGCGGGCUUGCAAGUUGGAAGUGAAAUCCAGGGGCUUAACCCCUGAACUGCUUUCAAAACUGCGAGUCUUGAGUGAUGGAGAGGCAGGCGGAAUUCCCAGUGUAGCGGUGAAAUGCGUAGAUAUUGGGAGGAACACCAGUGGCGAAGGCGGCCUGCUGGACAUUAACUGACGCUGAGGCGCGAAAGCGUGGGGAGCAAACAGG
rnacentral:rRNA from 1 species